AUGGUGCAAUAUCCGAGCUUGUAUAGGAUUGUUAGACAUAAAUUCGUCACAAUCAAAUAAGUUUUAGGACAAGAAAACCCUGAUAUUUCUUUCUGUAGGGACCUUUUUGGCCCUCGCCUGGCAGCAUGGAAUGAAUUACUCACUCGCCUGGAGGACAUUCAACUGUCAGAUGAGCCGGACAUUUUUCGAUGGAACUUGCAUCAGAAUGGCAAAUUUUCAGUC
rnacentral:rRNA from 1 species